UUUUAAACAUAGUUUUCGUCGUAAUUGAUAGAUUUACAAAGAUAUGGAUAGUCAAAAAUUCCAUCUUUGAACCUAUUGUUCUCUUUUUGGUAAUAGACUAGAGUAGGGUUACCAUAUCCUGCAAUGCCGUAAGAAGUAAAUUGAGAAAAUUUACCUAAAACAUUAUAAUAUAAUUAUAUCAUAAUCAAAAACAGAGACACUUAAGCUCGUUCAAAUACAGCCAAUUUGUUGAGAUCUAUGUGUUUUACAUGACAAUUAAAUUUUUUUAAAAUACUCUUUGACUAUUGAAAAGUGAAAAGUUAGGGGAUGAAGAUUCCUAGCUGGUGAAUUCAUAGUGAAGUGUUUGAUGUAAGCUGACAUAUCACACUAAACACGAUGAAGUAUUGUAUUUCAAAAAGAGUGUUUUAAAGACGCGCAUUUUUCUUUUAACAAACUUGUGCGCUUUUUAUUUGUGUACCAGGCAUUUGAGAACGUUGCUUUUGUGCAUAUUGAUUACUGUUUGGGGGCUUAUUGCAUAAUGAAAGGCGCUAAUUGUGUUCACUGUUUUUAUAAAACCAGGAUAUUUAAGUAAGUGGUUGUAAGCAAGGUUGCCGAAAGAAAAUUCUGUGUUUUUGAAAAAAUAAUUCUGACUUUCUGUGAUUUAACCCAAAAAUUCUGUGAUGGUUUUCUGUGAUGCUAUUUCCUUUAAUUUCAUUGAAAAUUCAUGAUAAAUUGGGUAGUUUAAACAUUUUAGUUGGGAAAAAUCAAUCACAUUACCAAUUUUAUCAUACUUUUCUAAUUCAAAGUAAGAAACCUAAAUUUGAUUUCGAACAAGAAUAUUAUAAUUUUGGAAAUCCAUUCAAAAUUCAAAAAUUCUGUGAAAUCUGUGAAUAUUUCAUGAAUUUUGUGUUCUGUGUCACAGGUUCUGUGAUGAAAAUUUGUUCAAACUUCGGUGAAAUUACAGAUUUUUGUUUAAUUUCGUCAACCUUGUUUGUAAGUUGAAUUUCUUUGGUAAUUCUUGUGUAAGAUGUGGAACAUAAAUUUCAUAUACUGGAAGAAAUAAGUUCACUUUCACUACACAUAAGUACACAUACAUAAGGUAUCACUAGGUAAGGUAUCUUUAAAAAAUAUUAAAGCUUUUUAACGAUUCAAAAAAACCACUAAAAUUUCAGUUAUUAAAAUUUCAAUUUUCCCUUCGGGCCCGAGGUAAACCACCUUAUGUUCCAGUGAGAGAUGUGUUGGCUGUGGUAGACCUAGACUAUAUGAUCGAAUUAUACCUUUAUCUUAAAUCUAUAGAUCUUCGCGUUUAAGUAUCCCUUUCCUCUUUUUCUUUUUUAUUUUUGUCUAUCGUAGUUUUGAAUAAUGAACGAUGUACUCAAUACUUGAAUCCUUAAAACAAAUAAAUGGACAACAUUGUGAAAAAUCUUUGUUAAUUAAACUUAAGCAACUGUUGUACAAAAAACUAAUAGUCUCCCGGCUCUGUUAAACUAAAUGGUUUGAGCCGUUUCAAAUAAACGAAUUGAUAAAUAUUUCAAUUUUUUUCACUCCCAAUCAGUUUUGCUUGCAGCACAAUAGUGAGAACUAUGUUGUAUCUUGUUGUUUAUUUGCAUGAAGGUGACAAAAAAUGUCUCAAAAUACUCGAAAUAGUUUCCAAAUUUUACCCAUUUGAAAAUUUUUUGGUUCGUUUUGAAAAAAAAAAGUUUUAAUUACGCCAGGGCUAAAAAUGGAACAUCAUGGUUGAAAGGGUACUAUUUUUGGACCCCCCACAAAUUUUCCAGGGUUUCUAACGAUUUUCUUUUAUUUUCGGAAAAAUAGUUUGUAUAGUUCAUAUUUAUCACAUCGAAAGUGGUUUUCCGUCGAACAUUGCCUUGGCCAGUGAAAAAUCGUGAGUUUUCUAAUUCACUUUGAUUUUUCAAAAUGUGUCCUAUAAUUGAGUUUACUGUUUUACCACUGAAGAGGAGGUUCAUUUUUAAAAACGUUGAAAAUUUGAUAAGAUUUAUUUACUAUAUCAAAAAACGAUAUGAUAGGAUAAAGGAAGAAUAAAAGUUCAUAGAAAGAUGCAUAAAAAGAUCGGAAAUCUUUGCCAGCAAAAUGAAUUAUUAAAAUUUUUUGGCCUUUUUAGACCAAAGUAUUCUCUUGGUCCAACGUAGGGCCACUCAUUAAAUUCCAAAUUCCGUUCCCUUAAUCAAAAUUUUUAUGAAUUCAGAAUAAGUAUUUAUAUUUCUCCGAUAAAUUUUGAUAUCAAGAUUUCGUUUUUGAAAUUGUUGUUUUAAUGUGUUGUUGAUAUAUACCUUCUUGUAAUUUAGGUAUUUUUAAAAUAACUGUUUAAGCUUGUGCUCAAAAUUUAAAUGUCUUCCUGCAUAUAAAUAUUGAUUGAACUUUUGAUCUGGGAAACUCGAGUUCAUCUUCACUGGAUAGAUUCAGAAUCACGUGGACGAUUAACUCACCCACAAUAAUAAACCCUUUUGAAUGACCCAAUCAAACCCAUUCGUUAACCUCCAAUUCAUUACUGGAUGGAACUUGCGUUCUUAGAAGUAUCACCAUCGCAUCAAUUGCUGAUGCUGACUCAGAUCAUUCGGCCAUCAUCACCACCGUUGUGCUGGUGACAUUUUAUUCUUCAUAAUGAAACACACGGAAACGUCAACGGAAAAAUGGAUUCCUCCGGCCGGGGCCGGAAAAUUGAGCGGAAGCAACUUUGUCACCCAAGAUGGAUUACAGCCACCGUCGUCGUCGGUUUAUGUCCGGAUCAAGCGACGGAUUUCAUAACCGAUGGAGGUCGGUCAACUUUUGCCUUCCGCCAUUCCGAAGGUUGAUCGACGUGUCGCUCGACGGGGGGCAGGAAUAUAUUCUUUAAAAAACGUGUUAUUUUAGGAAAACCAUCAUCUAAUGUAAAAUUUCCACUGACCACAAUGCCGAUAAAUCGGGAUAAAACUGAUCUAACCGAACAAAAAAAUCGUAAGCGAACGCAAAGAAAAUCAAAUUGUGCCUUUUCGUAGUGAAACCAAAAUAAUAAUACAAAUAAACCGAAUAAUAGCAAACAGAUGUAUCCCGAAACAUUCAAACAGUUGACGCCAGUUUUGCACAUGGAUUCGUUGGAAUAGAAUCAGAGAUAAAAAAAAACCAGUCGAUAAUAAUGUUUGUAGCUGAUUUUUUUUAGUUUUAACCCCCAAAAAAUAUCCAGAACAUAAGCUAGGCAAGGUUUUAUGUUAAGUGUAGAGUUAGGGUCUGAUAAUUCACAGCCAAUAGACUCAUUGUAGAUGAAUCUGUGUGAGAUGAACUGUAAAAUCUCUUGUUGAAUAUCAGAUGAUGAAUAAGUUUUCAUCCAUGAAGGGUUGAAUCAUAAAGCACAAAUUCAUUACGUUUCAGAAAGAAUAUCUCUUUGAUACAUCGCUCAGAUUCAGCAACAAACAUCAAAAGUUUCCAUUAGAAUAUUGAUAUCUUGUAGUUCUUUACAAAUAGUUUGAUAUUUACUGCGGGCUGAAGGAAAGAGAGACCUACAAACUUCAAAAAGUGAGCCAUUUUAUAGAGUAACAGUUGUAAAUCAAAACCCAUUCUUAUCAGCUAAACAAACAUCAAAUAAAUAACAGAUCAAAACACAGAAUAAAGAAUAUUUUAUAUGAAUAAUUAAACAAGGAUCAGUCUCAAUAACUGACCGAAAAUCAAACUAAAUACCACUAAAGCGUUUCAUUCUAGUACUUUCAUGUUAAAACUUCGACCUUAUCGCAUUUUCUCUCGUUCAUAGAAAAAAAAACAAAAGGGCCAUUCAUCGGAAUCACUGUAAUCUUACCUUCUACAUACUAAUCGUAAGCUAAAAACAAGUUCAUCGACAUAUAUAUUUACCGAAAACUAAAAUCCAUUUAGUCUCAUACGUACUUACUAAAACCAUCUUACAAUAAACAAUCUACGAGAACCAAUCGAAACUGCUGUUUUAAAAUAAAGUGAGCGCAAACCAAAAGAUAAAAAAUUUACAAACCCAGCCACAUUCAACUAACUUAAAAAAAUUACUAAACUUCGAUGCUACCUAGUAUAGGAGGAACAAAAUAACAACGGAAACUGUACUAACAAUAAUAAAAACUAUCUUAAACUGAACAACAACUCUUUAAAGAUGCUGAUUCAAAAAAAAGAUUUGCCUGUUUUAAUUCGUGGAAACAAUUGCUUUUAACUUUUUAUUUAAUUCAAUAAUGAAGGUAUUUUUUUAAUGUUCAAUCCUCUGAUCUAAGAUAGCUACAGUAGGCUGAUUUAGUACAAAGUAUCUUGACUUUUUAGUACAAUGGUUGAAAUUUUGUUGCAUACAUUUAGGCGGUUUACAAACCUCUAAGCACUGCUAAAUAAUUAUGGCUUCUAUUUUAUGAAACGAAGGAUUUACUCUGUUAAAACUCCAAAAUGUUCUUCAGUUCAAUACACCUAGAUGCCUAGAUUAAUACGAAGUAAAAUUUUAGUAAAAAAAAACUCCGAAUUUUAUUACGUUGUUUAAUUUUUUUUUUUUUAAUUUUAUCCAUUUGUUGCAUUCCCAAGACCGCUAAAUCUAAACAACUGAAACGCGUGAGCGGGAAAACCAAACUCAAACCUAAAAA